rnacentral:rRNA from 1 species
CGCGGCCUAUCAGCUUGUUGGUGGGGUAAAGGCCUACCAAGGCGAUGACGGGUAGCCGGCCUGAGAGGGCGACCGGCCACACUGGGACUGAGACACGGCCCAGACUCCUACGGGAGGCAGCAGUGGGGAAUAUUGCACAAUGGGCGAAAGCCUGAUGCAGCGACGCCGCGUGAGGGAUGACGGCCUUCGGGUUGUAAACCUCUUUCAGCAGGGACGAAGCGCAAGUGACUGUACCUGCAGAAGAAGCACCGGCUAACUACGUGCCAGCAGCCGCGGUAAUACGUAGGGUGCGAGCGUUGUCCGGAAUUAUUGGGCGUAAAGAGCUUGUAGGUGGCUCGUUGCGUCGGGAGUGAAAACCCGCGGCUUAACCGCGGGCCUGCUUCCGAUACGGGCGAGCUAGAGUUCGGCAGGGGAGACUGGAAUUCCUGGUGUAGCGGUGGAAUGCGCAGAUAUCAGGAGGAACACCGGUGGCGAAGGCGGGUCUCUGGGCCGAUACUGACACUGAGAAGCGAAAGCGUGGGGAGCGAACAGGAUUAGAUACCCUGGUAGUCCACGCCGUAAACGUUGGGAACUAGGUGUGGGGUCCAUUCCACGG